AGUGAACGCUGGCGGUAGGCCUAACACAUGCAAGUCGAACGGCAGCACAGUAAGAGCUUGCUCUUACGGGUGGCGAGUGGCGGACGGGUGAGGAAUACAUCGGAAUCUACUUUUUCGUGGGGGAUAACGAAGGGAAACUUACGCUAAUACCGCAUACGACCUACGGGUGAAAGCAGGGGAUCUUCGGACCUUGCGCGAUUGAAUGAGCCGAUGUCGGAUUAGCUAGGUGGCGGGGUAAAGGCCCACCAAGGCGACGAUCCGUAGCUGGUCUGAGAGGAUGGUCAGCCACACUGGAACUGCGACACGGUCCAGACUCCUACGGGAGGCAGCAGUGGGGAAUAUUGGACAAUGGGCGAAAGCGUGAUCCAGCCAUACCGCGUGGGUGAAGAAGGCCUUCGGGUUGUAAAGCCCUUUUGUUGGGAAAGAAAAGCAGCAGGUUAAUACCCCGCUGUUCUGACGGUACCCAAAGAAUAAGCACCGGCUAACUUCGUG
rnacentral:rRNA from 1 species